GGAUUGUGGUUCAGUGGUAGAGCGCUUGCCUAGCGUAUUCGAGUCCCUGGGUUCAAUCCUCAGCACCA
rnacentral:tRNA from 1 species